rnacentral:lncRNA from 1 species
GUACGCUUUUGUAUCCCAACCUUCUAUUGAGACCGAAAGCUUCGGCAUCCAAAUCUGCACGAGUCAUCAUGAAUGGUCUACUGGGAGCAAACGUCCUUGUGUGGGUCGCCGCUGCUAUAGGUGUGCUCAUCAUGCUUCCCAAUGAAGCUGCUGCUCUUGGAGGCGGGGUUGGAGGAA